rnacentral:rRNA from 1 species
UACGAGGGGGGCGAGCGUUGUUCGGAAUUAUUGGGCGUAAAGGGCGCGUAGGCGGUCGGAUAAGUCUUGUGUGAAAUCUUCGGGCUCAACUCGAAGUCUGCACAGGAAACUAUCUGGCUUGAGUGUGGGAGAGGUGAGUGGAAUUCCUGGUGUAGCGGUGGAAUGCGCAGAUAUCAGGAGGAACACCGAUGGCGAAGGCAGAUCUCUGGGCCGUAACUGACGCUGAGGAGCGAAAGCGUGGGGAGCGAACAGG